ACCAGUGCCCUAGUUUCUCUCAGUCUGAGUCUGGCAGUUACAAGCUAAGACAUGUUUUCCCGUCUUCACAAGCGUUUUGGGAGGGGGAACGUCGAUUGUGGAGAGACUAGAGUGAAGGAGUCUAGCCUUUCCUCUCAAAGUAAUGAUGGACAAAGACAGCACUUCUGGGGAAUGUUCAACGCUGGGAGAGAAACAUCAUCCCCUGGAACUGCCCUAAGCGAGAAGCAGGCCAAGAAGGAAAAGGAGAGGCUGAUUAAAGAGCUGCAGCUCAUUACCGAGGAGAGAAAUGACCUGAGAGAUCGCCUGAGGUUUCUGACAGAGAGAUCCAAGAACAACAGGUAUGGAUCCCUCCAAGUGCUUUGUUACAUUCCUGGGUCUGCAAGGUCACCUUCAUCUUCUCCUAUUAAGGUUUUGGGUUCUAGAAAGCUGUGCCUCCCUAUCCACCCUGUGCUAAACCUCACCUCCCAUAUAGAGGAGAUUCAGAACCUGACCCUGAGGAGCGAGAUGGAAAAUGGAUUCAUCUGUUUCCAUUUAUUGAAAAGCAGAACUUGUGGUCUGAAUGAAGAAUUCAGGAAUAAAGUCAGGGAGAGUGAGUGCCCAGUGUGCAUUUGCAAAGCCCUUGACAGCUGGUGGCUUUGCAAGAUUGUACUUGCAGUGAGUUUAUGGUGAGUCUCUGUACUGCUAGGCAGGGCACUGAGUGCUGGAAGAUCCAGGCAGCAGCCUGAGGGGCCUGGUCCCAAACUGUUCAUCUCAAUGCUUGAGUAGAAGGUCUCAGGCUCAGGCCUGUUUGAUAUUGUCUGUGUGUCUUGCCCUCUGAGACAGCAAUGGUGCAUGCAUUUCUCCUGGUUCUCACAGUGCUCUCUGUUUCCAUAUUUCUCUUUCUCUUUCUCUUACUCUGUUUACAUUGCUCUUUUUUGUGGAUAUGUCUCAGUCUGUGAGUCUGUGUGUGCAUACAUCCAAAUGCAUACGGACAACUUUUGUAUGUUUAUAUUUCCCUCCACACUUGGAAUCUAGGGGUCUACGUCUUGGCCUGAGUAUUUACCUGUAACACUUUCAUGGUCAUGUGAAUGCUUUGUUCUGGGAGCCCCACUGUCAACAACACAGUUCUUUGCCUAUGUGGACACGUUUGUCUGUUUAUUUUUAUUCUUUGUGCAGAUUAUAAUUUUGUGUUGAUAUACGGUCUGUUAUCAAAACAGGAGAAAAGAAAUCACAGGUUUCUGGCUGUGUUGGGGUGGGGGAGCAUGGAGAGGUGUGGCCUAGGCUCUUGAUAGCUUAACUGGCUUGACUGCAGAUUUCCUCUUGAUUGAACAAGGGAGCCAGGGAACCCUCCCUCUGGAUGCCAAGAUUCUGGUGUCCUGGACGCAGAAAAACAGGUUUCUGAAGCUGAAGAAGACCCCAAUAUGUAGAAUUCAGAAGGUGUCCUUCCAAGACUGGGGUAGUACAGGACCCACCCCGAGUUCAUAUAUUCCUAAAUGCUGAUGUUCAUAGGAUUCUAUCAUUUGGGGCCAGGCCACACUUCAGGCCAAAUCCAUAUUAUGAAGACCUGGAGAGAAUGGAGGAGGUGGUCAUGUCAAUUCUGCACAACUUAGAGAUGGAGAACACUGAGAUCCAUGAGAACAGCCAUAAGCUGAAGAAGGAGAUUACCUUCUCUAGAAACCUGCUCAGCCAGCUCCUGAUGGAGAACACAUGUAGGAAGAAGUUGGUCCCACUGAAGCAGGAGAGCAAGGAGGGACAUCUUCAGUGUGCACUGAACCAGAAAUAUUUGGUUGCCUUCAACAAGAAAGAUAAAGACCAGCAACGUCCAGAUCCAGCAUCAUCAGGUCUCAGAAAGUGCAAGAGAGCUGGAAUUGGACACACCCCAGUAAGAGAGCUUCCUGAAGAAUGAGUUGCUUUCUCAGGAGUCCCUGAUGACAAACAUCCUGAAUGGUAACAACAUUUUUUGGAUGAGUAUUCUUCCUCAGAGUUAAUUUGUCAUUUCUUAGAGACCCUCAAUUUAUAUAACACUAAGCCAGCCUGACUGAUUGAGGUCUUACUCACUUUCUUUUUCAGAAAACAGCACUUGAGAGACAACUUGGGGGACUGCCUUUCAUUAUGUGUGCUAGAGGAGAAACAGCAAUACGUCUAUGCUUCUAAAUGUUCGUUAAGAAUAUGCUGUUUAGAAAUAUUUUUGUUUUGAUUUUCAUUGAAGUUUUCUUUUUGUUGUUUCAUAUUUAUAUGUUCUUGUUACUAUUUUUCACUUUGAAAUAUUUUUAA